GACGAACGCUGGCGGCGUGCUUAACACAUGCAAGUCGAACGCUGAAGCUUGGUGCUUGCACUGGGUGGAUGAGUGGCGAACGGGUGAGUAAUACGUGAGUAACCUGCCCUUGACUCUGGGAUAAGCCUGGGAAACUGGGUCUAAUACUGGAUACGACAUGUCACCGCAUGGUGGUGUGUGGAAAGGGUUUUACUGGUUUUGGAUGGGCUCACGGCCUAUCAGCUUGUUGGUGGGGUAAUGGCUCACCAAGGCGACGACGGGUAGCCGGCCUGAGAGGGUGACCGGCCACACUGGGACUGAGACACGGCCCAGACUCCUACGGGAGGCAGAAGUGGGGAAUAUUGCACAAUGGGCGGAAGCCUGAUGCAGAGACGCCGCGUGAGGGAUGACGUCCUUCGGGUUGUAAACCUCUUUCAGCACGGAAGAAGCGAAAGUGACGGUACGUGCAGAAGAAGCGCCGGCUAACUACGUG
rnacentral:rRNA from 1 species